UCUUUGUUUUCUGAAAAUUCUUUUUUUAUUUUUCUUCUUCUUCUUCUUUUUUUAAGUGAAAUUCACAUUUCCUAUCUCUUUUGAGUGAGGCUUUGAAGCAGAAUGUAGCUCCCAAAGAAAGAUAUUUUCCAUUUUAUCGUGGCUGAAAAACCAAAUGUAAAUGCUGGUGCUUUAUAGUGCUGAGACUGCUGCAGGAGAACAUUGGUGGGGAAGUUUGCCUGUGAAUUUUCAAAAAGGCUGAAGAUGUGCAGUGCUGGUAAACCUGAGCCAUCACCUGACUCCUCAUUUCAGAAAAGCGUUCCAAGUUCAUCAUCAUUCCCCAUGAAGGUAACACAUCCGUGGUGCAAAGCUUCGGAGAAGCGUUUCAAGGCGAAACACCAUGAGCAUUGAUCUAAGACUCAGCUUUCUGCUCCGCAGGCCGAGUCCUCUGGAACUCCGGCUUGCCUGCUCCCAGGAGAGGGCAGUGGAGCCGCACACGCUCCGUGCCGCGGCCGGCGGGCCGCUCCGUUCCUGCGGGGCUGCGCGAGGCAUGCAUCCUAAGACAACAAGGAGCCUUGGCUGAAAACAGCAGAGUGUGGUUUUAAGUGACUGGAGAAGCAUUGAAACUGGAACAUCACCAAAGGCACUGAAACAAAAACUGAGCAAUUGAGACAGCCUUUCUCAGCUGGGCGCAAGGUGGUGCAGGACUAGAGCGGAGCCUGUGAGGCAGAUGACAGCACUUGAGACCACCACGGAGGUAAGUCCGCGCUCCGUAGAGACACCUGAGCACAUGCUGUAAUGGACUCAAGCCUUUAAAUAUUGUGAUCUGCAGUUAAAAAUGCAAGGUGGAAA
rnacentral:lncRNA from 1 species